rnacentral:rRNA from 1 species
AACGAACGCUGGCGGCGUGCCUAAGACAUGCAAGUCGAACGAGAAAGCCACCUUCGGUGGCGAGUACAGUGGCGCACGGGUGAGUAACGCGUGGGUAAUCUGCCCUCGGGUCUGGGAUAACCCGGAACUGGAGCUAAUACCGGAUGAGACCACGAGCACCUCGGUGCUCGCGGAAAGGUGGCCUCUCGACGAAGCCACUGCCUGAGGAUGAGCCUGCGUCGCAUAGUCUUGUUGGUGGGGUAACGGCCUACCAAGGC